CCUACGGGGGGCUGCAGUGGGGAAUAUUGGGCAAUGGGCGAAAGCCUGAUCCAGCCAUGCCGCGUGUGUGAAGAAGGCCUUCGGGUUGUAAAGCACUUUCAGUGGGGAAGAAAGCCUUGGGGCUAAUACCCUCGAGGAAGGACAUCACCCACAGAAGAAGCACCGGCUAACUCCGUGCCAGCAGCCGCGGUAAUACGGAGGGUGCGAGCGUUAAUCGGAAUUACUGGGCGUAAAGCGCGCGUAGGCGGUCUGAUAAGCCGGUUGUGAAAGCCCCGGGCUCAACCUGGGAACGGCAUCCGGAACUGUCAGGCUAGAGUGCAGGAGAGGAAGGUAGAAUUCCCGGUGUAGCGGUGAAAUGCGUAGAGAUCGGGAGGAAUACCAGUGGCGAAGGCGGCCUUCUGGACUGACACUGACGCUGAGGUGCGAAAGCGUGGGUAGCAAACAGGAUUAAUACCCGGGUAGUC
rnacentral:rRNA from 1 species